GAAAUGCGAUAAGUAAUGUGAAUUGCAGAAUUCAGUGAUUCAUCGAAUCUUUGAACGCACCUUGCGCUCCUUGGUAUUCCUUGGAGCAUGCCUGUUUGAGUAUCAUGAAAUCUUCAAAGUAAAUCUUUUGUUAACUCAAUUGGUUUCUACUUUGGUAUUGGAGGUCAUUGCAGCUUCACACCUGCUCCUCUUUGUUCAUUAGCUGGAUCUCAGUGUUAUGCUUGGUUCCACUCGGCGUGAUAAGUUAUCUAUCGCUGAGGACACUGUAAAAGGUGGCCAAGGUAAAUGCAGAUGAACCGCUUCUAAUAGUCCAUUGACUUGGACAAUACUUUUAUGAUCUGAUCUCAAAUCAGGUAGGACUACCCGCUGAACUUAAGC
rnacentral:misc_RNA from 1 species